ensembl:lncRNA
CAGCACUUUGAGAUAUCAGCUGAUGUAAGAAGGGCUUUAUAAAUACAUUUGAUUUGAAAUGUAAGUGAAUGAGGGAGAUUUAAGUGAGGUGGAAGGUGUGGUGAGGAUCUCGGAACCUGAGCCUUGCAUUGAUGGACAUGGUUAUGAUCAAGCUGAGUUUUGCCCAGUUUUUCUUGCGCUUGUGCUGCAGAUGGAUAUAUCGUACAAUACAGGACUAUUAAAGGCCCAGUGCACAAAUUUUGUGGACCUAAAAAAAGUUACAUGCCUGAAACUGUGAAAUGAGAACAGGAACCAGUCACCAAGUGCAGCAGACGGAUUCUCAGAAGUGUG